ensembl:lncRNA
UUCACAGCCAGGUUCACCAUAUCCCAACUCCCCCUGAGACACCUGCAGGGAGUGGGUUCACAGCCAGGGUCACCAUAUCCCAACUCCCCCUGAGACACCCGCAGGGAGUGGGUUCACAGCCAGGUUCAACAUAUCCCAACUCCCCCUGAGACACCCGCAGGAAGUGGGUUCACAGCCAGGUUCACCAUGUCCCAACUCCACCUGAGACACCCGCAGGGAGUGGGUUCACAGCCAGGGUCACCAUAUCCCAACUCCCCCUGAUACACCCGCAGGGAGUGGGUUCACAGCCAGGGUCACCAUAUCCCAA